UACGUAGGUGGCAAGCGUUGUCCGGAAUUAUUGGGCGUAAAGCGCGCGCAGGCGGUCCUUUAAGUCUGAUGUGAAAGCCCACGGCUCAACCGUGGAAGGUCAUUGGAAACUGGGGGACUUGAGUACAGAAGAGGAAAGCGGAAUUCCACGUGUAGCGGUGAAAUGCGUAGAGAUGUGGAGGAACACCAGUGGCGAAGGCGGCAUUCUGGACCGACAUUGACGCUGAGGAGCGAAAGCCAGGGGAGCAAACGGG
rnacentral:rRNA from 1 species